UUGAAUUAGAAGAAGUAGAGUUGUCCAAAGGAAAACAUGAGGAUGGUCCUGAUGCUUCUGAUACUGACUCUGAACUCUUUUUCAAUCUUGCGACUGACAAUGCUAAACAAAAUGGUGUUGAUGAUGAGAUGUAUGGUGAGUUUUUUAAAGAACCAAAUGAUGCCAAAGGUGUAUCUUCUGUUAAGAGUGGUUGUAAUGAUGAUAGAGCUAGCAGUAUGAAUGAUGCAAGUCUUCACUCUGCUCUCGAGUUUGGUGUCAAGUCUAGUACCGUGUCUGCCCCAGUGUCAGAAAGCAUGCAUGCAAGAUCUGAUCUAGGAUCUCCAAGGCG
rnacentral:misc_RNA from 1 species